UCUUUCUUUCUUUCGUUCGUAUUCGUCGUGCGUAUUUGACCGAAUAAAGGUGAAGAAGAAGAAGAAGAAGAAGAAGAGGAAGAAGAGGAAGCGAGAAAGAUUGCACCUGACGUAGAAAUAUUUUAUAUGGAAAUAUAUACCAUAAGAAACGGUCCGACGGAGGUCCAGCCACAGGGUGUCAUGGUUGGAACGUUGGUUUGUGGUGAUGGGUUAAAUAGCGUGUAAGGCGUAGGACAAUUCACUUUAGGACAAGCAGGCUCGACGACGAUACCAGGAAAUUUGGUGUCUAUUGGAAUGUACCAUUGGAUGGGUGUACAUCCUCCUGACCUUUUCGGACAAACAGCCAUCUUCGAGAAUAUUGUAAUGAACAACCUCCCGACCUCUCGACCAGAACACCUUGACGUCCGUUGACAAACGAAGAUGGCGUCCUUUCUGCCUGCGUACAAAAGCGUCCUUUGUUCCUCGUCGUUCGUCGACGCAUCCGGUUUCAUCCAACGCCCGUGGUGGGGUUUAGGACCGCUACGAGAUGGCGACCAAUCGUUUCCGAGCAAAAGCAACCUAUGGAACGUGUCGAUAUACGUAACAACUAGAUACAAGGAGUAGAAUACUAAGCAUUCACCUGGCGGAUAUACGAAAUUCAAAUAUUUCUGUUGCCUUGGCUUAUCAACUUCAAACACAAACGUUUCCUGGGUUGGAACUUUGUUCUUGUACCCUCAUCCGUUCGUCGACGUUCGUGAGCGGAUUUGUCUGGCACUCUAAUAGAAAAAAUAUAUAUAUAAUAGUCGCAUAA